UAGGGAAUCUUCGGCAAUGGGGGGAACCCUGACCGAGCAACGCCGCGUGAGUGAAGAAGGUUUUCGGAUCGUCAAGCUCUGUUGUUAAGGAAGAACGAGUGUGAGAAUGGAAAGUUCAUACUGUGACGGUACUUAACCAGAAAGGGACGGCUAACUCCUUGCCAGCAGCCGCGGUAAUACGUAGGUCCCGAGCGUUGUCCGGAUUUAUUGGGCGUAAAGCGAGCGCAGGCAGUUAGAUACGUCUGAAGUUAAAGGCAGUGGCUCAACCAUUGUAAGCUUUGGAGACUGUAUAGCUGGAGUGCAGAAGGAGAGAGUGGAAUUCCAUGUGUAGCGGUGAAAUGCGUAGAUAUAUGGAGGAACACCAGUGGCGAAAGCGACUCUCUGGUCUGUAACUGAAGCUGAGGUUCGAAAGCGUGGGUAGCAAACAGG
rnacentral:rRNA from 1 species